rnacentral:rRNA from 1 species
GAAACCACGGGACCCAAGGAANUCUAAACAUGUACGCRAGGUCGUCGGGCACCCACUAAAACCCGUAAACGGCGCAUUAAAACGAAAAGGCCGGGCCGCCCAUUACCGCCCCAAGGGAAGGAUGGGGGCGUCGCUCGCGGGCCGCCCCCCGACAAYUCCCGGGGGCGUCUCACCCYNYCCGGUCGUCUCGAAGGAAAGGCGCACCUAGAGCAUACAUGUUGGGACCCGAAAGAUGGUGAACUAUGCCUGAUCAGGAGGAAGUCCAGGGGAAAUCUCUGAGUGGAGGUCCCGUACGCGAUUUCUAUCGUGC